rnacentral:tRNA from 3 species
UCGGGAUAGCUCAGCUGGUAGAGCAGAGGACUGAAAAUCCUCGUG